GCGGGAGUAGCUCAGUUGGUAGAGCGCUAGCCUUCCAAGCUGGAUGUCGCGGGUUCGAGUCCCGUCUCCCGCUCCA
rnacentral:tRNA from 1 species